UUUUUUAUAGUAUAAAUUAAUACAUUUUAUUUCCAAUAAAAAAAUUUAAAUAAUUUAAUAAAAGAA
rnacentral:tRNA from 1 species